GGUCCGGCUCCGCCUCGCCCGGGCGGGACCGCCGCCUUUGUCCCGGCUCUCGGGGCACGGCGUGAGGGAGGGGAAGGGAGCCUGCCCUGCCGAAAGGCGGCUGCGGUGCGGCUGGGGCUAAGGGGCUGCCCUGUCCCUGGAGCGGAGCCCAGUGUGUUGGAGCUACGAAGUUCGCCAAGGGUCUGGAGGAUCUCACUUGAAAGGAAAGAGGGAGAUGGGCCUGAUCAGCCUCGGGAAGAGAAGCAUCACUCACUGUCUACACUGAGAAUGGUUUUGGGCCAGGAAGUGGAGACGACUAAAGGAGGAGGACAGGUCUGGAAUAAAACCCGAGUGCCACUUUGGAAGACCUCACGCCUUCUCUGUCAUCAGCAGCUGAGGCAGCCUGAAUGUCAACAUUCCCUUAGUGCAGGGAAUGUGUCCUUAAAAACUCCUUCAGGAAGCAGAGCUGCUUCUGCUCCCUCAGCCAUGGCCCAUUGCAUCAGAGCUCCUGACAAGGGACAGACACUGCCCUCCAUACCUGUGCUGCAUUUCUGGGAGGGGAUGGUCCCAUUCCCUAGGAUGAUGGAGACCUAAAUCUGUGUUAAAUCCAACAGGUUCAUCUGCACUGCCAUCAAAGUGAGGCUAAAGAGUUGGUGGGAAAGUUUAUUUUUAGUUAGAGUCCACAGCAUUACAAGUGUUGGUUUUGGCAGGCUGAAAACACCAUCCUGCCUCUAGGAGGGAAAAUUGAAAACUCUCAUAUUAAGUAGCUUAUGAAAAUUAAUCAUUACUCAAACACAUUUUAGUAGUAGAAAUUCCAUUAAGUAUUUUAUAAUCUGGUUCUGUUUUAAUUUCUUUGUCUAUAACAACCAUAAUCAAUAAAAUAUACAAUAGCCCU